UACGGAAGGCAGCAGUGGGGAAUAUUGCACAAUGGGCGCAAGCCUGAUGCAGCCAUGCCGCGUGUAUGAAAAAGGCCUUCGGGUUGUAAAGUACUUUCAGUCGUGAGGAAGGUGUUAAGGUUAAUAACCCUAGCAAUUGACGUUAGCGACAGAAGAAGCACCGGCUAACUCCGUGCCAGCAGCCGCGGUAAUACGGAGGGUGCGAGCGUUAAUCGGAAUUACUGGGCGUAAAGGGCACGCAGGCGGUUAAUUAAGUUGGAUGUGAAAUCCCCGGGCUUAACCUGGGAAUGGCAUUCAAGACUGGUUAGCUAGAGUCUUGUAGAGGGGGUAGAAUUCCAUGUGUAGCGGUGAAAUGCGUAGAGAUGUGGAGGAAUACCGGUGGGCGAAGGCGGGCCCCCUGGGACAAAGGACUGACGCUCAUGUGCGAAAGCGUGGGGAGCAAACAGGGAUUAGAUACC
rnacentral:rRNA from 1 species